rnacentral:lncRNA from 1 species
CAAGAGACUUGUGCACUUAUUAAAAUUCUAAGAGCACUUACUUCCGGGGCCUCGCUCUCACUGUUCUGGGUCCACGCCAGUCCUUUGGUGAGAACGACCUCACUCACUCGGGGAGAGCUGUGUGCCUCCCCUACUCUAGCCCCAGAUCCAGCACUGGGACUGCUCAGCUCUAAACAUGGCCCCCCGGGUGGCCCUGGAACUCAGUUCCAGAGCUUAGGACCAAAGCUCUUCCACCAUACUCUUCUUCAGCUUUGGAUGGAAGCCCAGAGCUGGGAGCCAUGGGUACCACUACAGUAAAUCUAGGAAGAGCUCUCACAGAGAAGAGGGGAUCUCUCUGGGACAUCUGGGACAUGCAGCAGACAGAGAGCGCUCCCCCUGCUCACAUCUUCUGAGCUUCAGCUUUGUCUUCCCCUCCACCCGACCCCCAGACUGACCCUGGGCUGCUCCAUCCUUGUAAGGCCUGAAGAACAGAUCUCAUGUGGCUUUGGACUGAGCGCUCUGGACCCAUUAAUGCAAGGUCUGACUCUUCCAGACUGAGAGACUGCUGAAGGAAGAAGCAGUGACCCACGGCUGAGUACAGUGGCCAGGGUUCCAGGGUACACAUCUGUCAAUUCACCCCUCUGGAGGCAUGGGCUGCUGGAAGUGAGUUCCGUGAGAAACUGUUUGGUAUAAUCCGUGAAUACUGAGAGAACUGUAGGCUGUCUGUGGGGAAGAGGGAGCAGGUGUUGCCCUCUCGCCUGUGAAUCACUAGGGAGGUGAAAGAGUUCAUACAGCCAACCAGGAAGCAGUCACUCUGACAAGCCAAGCGAAGAGAUGUUUGGCCACCUGCAUCUGACUUCUAGAUCGGCUUCUGUUCUUGGGACCAGCAAUGCUUGAAUGAAAAGCUCUGCUGAUUGCCUGCUGCAGAGAAGCCUGGACCCACAGGGCACCGGGCAUGAAGGAAAGCAAGCGGUUCCGUGUUGAAGGCAAGGGUCUCUGUCCUGCAGCAGGUAUGCAGAAAGUCGCCUCCGUGGUGGAAGGGUCUGAGUGGUAUAGACCCCAUAGCACAGCCUCCUUCGCCUCACACUCUC